CCUACGGGAGGCUGCAGUGGGGAAUAUUGGUCAAUGGGCGCAAGCCUGACCCAGCAAUGCCGCGUGAAGGAAGAAGGCUUUCGGGUUUUAAACUUCUUUUACAGGGGAAGAGCAGAAGACGGUACCCUGAAAACAAGCCACGGCUAACUACGUGCCAGCAGCCGCGGUAAUACGAAGGUGGCAAGCGUUGUGCGGAUUGACUGGGUGUAAAGGGCGUGUAGGCGGGAAGGCAAGUCAGAUGUGAAAUCCGGGGGCUCAACCCCCGAAUUGCAGUUGACACUGUUUUUCUUGAGUACGGGAGAGGCAGGCGGAAUGCGUGGUGUAGCGGUGAAAUGCGUAGAUAUAAGGAGGAACACCAGUUGCGAAGGCGGUCGGCUGGACAGCAACUGACGGUGAGGCGCGAAAGCGUGGGGAGCAAACAGGAUUAGAUACCCCUGUAGUC
rnacentral:rRNA from 1 species